rnacentral:rRNA from 1 species
GACGAACGCUGGAGGCGUGCUUAACACAUGCAAGUCGAACGAUGAAAUGGAGCUUGCUCCAGGGAUUAGUGGCGAACGGGUGAGUAACACGUGAAUAACCUGCCCUUAAUUUUGGAAUAACCCAGGGAAACCUGGGCUAAUACCGGAUAAGUAAACCUGUGGCAUCACAUGGUUUUGGAAAGUUUUUCGAUUAAGGAUGGAUUCGCGGCCUAUCAGCUUGUUGGUGAGGUAAUGGCUCACCAAGGCGACGACGGGUAGCCGGCCUGAGAGGGUGAACGGCCACACUGGGACUGAGACACGGCCCAGACUCCUACGGGAGGCAGCAGUGGGGAAUAUUGCGCAAUGGACGAAAGUCUGACGCAGCGACGCCUCGUGAGGGACGAAGGUCUUCGGAUUGUAAACCUCUUUCAGCAGGGACGAAGCGAAAGUGACGGUACCUGCAGAAGAAGCACCGGCCAACUAUGUGCCAGCCGCCGCAGUAA